rnacentral:tRNA from 1 species
AGGGAGGUACCGUGGCUCCAUGGUAGAGCAUCUGCUUGUCAUGCAAAAGGUUCCAGAUUCAACCCCUGGCCUCUCCA